rnacentral:rRNA from 1 species
UACGUAGGUGGCAAGCGUUGUCCGGAAUUACUGGGCGUAAAGAGCGCGUAGGCGGGAAUUUAAGUCAGGAGUGUAAACUGUCGGCUCAACCGGCAGCUUGCUUCUGAAACUGGAUUUCUUGAGGGUAUGAGAGGAAAGCGGAAUUCCUAGUGUAGCGGUGAAAUGCGUAGAUAUUAGGAGGAACACCAGUGGCGAAGGCGGCUUUCUGGCAUACAACUGACGCUGAGGCGCGAAAGCGUGGGGAGCAAAC